CAGCAGUUGGCACGUGGAAUGGCUGCCGUUAGGGACACACACCUAGCUUCAUAGGUGAAAGGGAGAGGGAGGAAAGACACCUGCGGGAAGGACAAAAAUGCUUUUCUAGAAGAGACAGAGUUUUGGAGGAACAAAUAUAAGUUGCCUCCAGCUUGAAACAGUGAAUGCCAAAGUGCACAUGCUGAGGUGGAACAUUCUCGUCUCCCUGCCUCUAGACACCGGCCACAUGACCAUACGCAUUAAUUUUACGUCUCUAAAAAGCGGUGAGAGGCUUCAUACCAAGUGAUAUGAUUUUGGGUCAUCCCGGGACAGCAGGUCCCUGAUGCUGCAAUGGAGGAAGAAGAUGAUAUCCUUCCAAUUCCAGAAAGUUUUCCCUAAGUUUGUCAACAUCUGGGGCAGAAGUUCCAUUGCAGAACUGAAAUUCCUACGGGAGGAGAGAAGCUAUGGAAUCACAGCCAAGCAAGGUGAACCUUGCAGAAAGAGGGGAGGCAUCUCCUCCCCAAGGCCUCCCACAGGAGAGCCUAUUCACCCCUGAGCACAUGGAACCCUCACGUUACUGCACCUUGGGGAAGAAUGACGCUGGACACUCUGCUGUUGGUGAUUCAGAGACCUAACUGAGGCCAUGUGGAUGGAUGGACUCUACAGAGCCUCACAGAGGAAACAUCUCAAGCUACUCAAGAGGAGGAUGCUUGAAUUCCAG
rnacentral:lncRNA from 1 species